rnacentral:lncRNA from 1 species
AGGAGGGUGGGAUUAGGCUAGGGUGGGUCCUGGUGGGCAGGAUGUUUGUUUGAUGUGAACAAUUCAGAUGAGAAGGAGUUCACUUCCCCCUUUUGUUCUCUGGGUAUAUCUGGGUCCAGAAAGUGUGUGUGUUUAUUGCAGAGACACACAGAAGGUGGCUGCAUCUGCCGAGGGGAGAACAACUGGAUCUUGUUCACACUCAGCCAGAGGAAGAUUCCUGGUUUCAACUCUUCUCAACCUGAGGCUGUUCAUUGCCAGCAAAUGACAUGGAGGAAACAUUCCUGAUUGGCUCUUGAGAAGCAACAACCUCGAUCCCAACCUUAGGAUCCUGCCUGGAGGAGGUGUGUCUGCCAGGAGGAAGCUAGCCUGGGGAGAUCUUCCCAAGAAGAUCUGGAUAAAAUUCCUGGCACACGUAUAUGGUUUACCUGGACAAUUUGGUCUCAGCCACAAAAAUCUCCCAGGCAUUGUCUUCAGUGAUCAGGAACUGCAGUUCUUCCCUGUAUUCUCUCUCCGGGAAACACUCAGUGACAUCGCCAAUAAACUUUUGGCUCUCUACACCGAAAAAAAAAAAGAAAAAAGAUUAGAAGAAAUUAUGGUGGAACAUAAAUGGUAUUGAGUUUAAAGUGGCUCAGCAAUAAAGAAUCUGCCUGCAAUUCAGGAGACACAUGAGAUGCGGGUUCCAUCCCUGGGUCAGGAGUAUCCCCUGGAGGAGGAACUGGCAGCCCACUCCAGUGUUCCUGACUGGAGAAUCCCAUGGAAAGAGACUGGCAGGCUACAGUCUAUGAGGUUGCAAAGAGUUGGACACGACUGAGUGGCUGAGCAAACAAGAACACACAUAAAGUGGUUCAAGUUCACCUUCCUGAGCAAAAGUCAUCUGGGGUACUGUUAAUGGAUUCACCUGGGGUUAUAGGUAGACUGUUCCCCCUGCCCCUAAUUCAUAAGUUGAAAUCCUGACCCAUCCUUCCCCCUGAAAUGACUGUAUUAAGAGAUAGGGCCUUUAAGGCAGUAAUUAGGUAAAACAAGACCAUAAGUGUAGAGUCCUAAUCCAAUAAGAUUGGUGCCCUUAUUAGAAGAGACAUCAGAUUUCUUUCUCUCUUUCUCCACCCCCUCAGCUGGAAGGCUUCUAAAUUUUUCCCUUUUUCCUGCAUCACUAAGGGAGAAAGGAAACUAGAACUUGCCUGGAGGGAACCCACAGAAUUAACUCUGUAUUGAUUGAUUGAAGAGGAGGUGGGUGGGGGAAAUAAUUGAGCACCUGGGUAUCUGCAGGGGUGCUUGAGAUCAAUAGGACCAGUAUCUGCCUGAGGCAGUCACCCCUGGUAAGCAGGGGCUCAUGUAUGGGAGCACUGGGAAAAUGCCCUAACACAGCGUGGGGGAGGGGGGAUUCUAGAGAAAGAGGGUUCCACCUGAAACUAACACAUUCCAGGGAGAGGGGCAGCAGCACACUAGGCAGGACCUACUG